rnacentral:misc_RNA from 1 species
UCCGGUUUGUCACCGGCAGUCUCCUUAGAGUUCCCGCCAUUACGCGCUGGCAACUAAGAACAGGGGUUGCGCUCGUUGCGGGACUUAACCCAACAUCUCACGACGCGAGCUGACGACAGCCAUGCACCACCUGUGCACCGGCCCCGAAGGGCUGCCGUAUUUCUACGACAUUCCAGUGCAUGUCAAGCCUAGGUAAGGUUCUUCGCGUUGCGUCGAAUUGAACCACAUGCUCCGCUGCUUGUGCGGGCCCCCGUCAAUUCCUUUGAGUUUCACCCUUGCGAGCGUACUCCCCAGGUGGAAUACUUAUCAGGUUUCCUACGGCACUGACCCUUGCGGGCCAACACCAAGUAUUCAUCGUUUAGGGCGUGGACUAC